UGGGGGUUGGUAUGGAAAGAUAAUGGGCAAUGUCUCUCAGGGCUGCUUCGAGCUGGAUUCGGGCGGCAUGGGAACCUAGAGCUGAAGAGAUUAAACUGAAGAAAGAUUUUGGGAGAUAAAUGCAAGCUUGUGGCCAAAUUAACGACUGUUGAACUGUGAUUAGUGCUUACCUCUACUUCUGUUCACUCAAAUGAGAAAAGGGGAAAGGCCAUCAAAUGAGAGAAGCUUCGGCAGAAUUCCAUUAAUUUAUAAUAGAGAUGCAUGAUAUAUACACACACAGACUUCUGGAAGACAAACACAGAAUGCAAAGGACAACAAAUAAGAGAGUUUAUCCAAGGCAGAAGAUCAUGAUGACAAACUUUCAGCGAAGAAGAAACCCCUGCAGCCCAGGAACGAUCUAUACUGUCCUACAGAAGUCUAUGAAUAGUGCCAUAGCAAGGGACUGGGAAAGUUUCCCAAUCUCUCCUUUUCUGAAUGUAGUUUCAAAUAUGGUACUUCUGUCUUCCUCUCUCAGCAUUGUUUAUUGAAUGUGUUAGACGUUUUUCUCUUAGCUUAUAGGUAACUGAUUCAAAAGAAAAACUGUCUGGAAGUAGUGAAGAGGACUGCACAGAUAUGGAGGAGAUUAAAUUUUGAGGUUGUCCACAUAUGGAAAAAAAAUAUUUGCCCAAAGGAAUAGACCAUGGCCAAGAUGGGCAGUCUACGAUUUAUUCUUUCCUCAUACCUUGUUAAUGAAACCCUGAUCCCUGAUGACCACAAAUCCAUCUUGCCAUUCGUGGGGCUGCCCCACCUCAGACAAUUUUUAGGUUAGGAUGAAAGAAGCCACCUUUAACUUUGCUUUUGUUAACAGCAACUGCAACUAUUUUCUUGCUGAUAUUGACCCUACUUUUGGUCUUCUUUUAAGAUACAGCAAGUUUCCAUAUUCAAUUGUACUCAUGAAUACAUGAAAUUAAGAACUUAAUGAUCAUAGUGACCUGUGCAGUUUUACUUUUUAGCUUUCUGGUUUAAAAUCCAGAGAUAUAGCUGUCCUUACUUUUAUAAGCAUUGCCAAAAGUAUGCCAAUUAAUCUAUUAAGUUAUUAAUCAUGUAAAGAUGUGAAUUUGUGUCUACUUAAAAUAGAGGAGUGAAAUAGUAGGUGAAUUCGGUUGGGUAAAAUGAUGUGCAUACAACAUUGGUGAUUCAAAUUUUGACUUCAUCCUAUAAAGAGCAAAGAACAUAAUAUCAAGUUACUGGUAUAAAACAGCUCUAAGCAUUCAUGUGAUUAUUUUUUCUAGCUUUGCUUUAUACCCAUGUAAGACAGCAUCUAUGAAACAUGGGAAUUAAUAAAAGAGAUGAUAAUUAUCAAUUAUUAGGUGCAUGCCAUCUGCUAAAUGCUUUUCUUUUUGGAUUAGCACAUUUUUCUUAGUUUGUUGUUCACAUCCUCACAUUAUAGAUUAUUACAUUGAGAUUGAGAGAUGAAAUAACUGCCAAAUUUUUCUACAUCUUAUAAUUUUGAAGCUGGAAUGAGAAGACAAUGUUGUUUACUUUAAAGUCUGUAUUCUUUCCCCUAUAUCAGAAUUUCUAUAUAGCAGAGAGAUUGUGAUACAUUGCUAAGACUUAAUGUUAGACUGACACUUUUUGGAUGAAGCAGGGACUAAAAAUUAGAACUGCACUCUGAGGUGAAGCAGAAACCAGGAGAUCAGCCAUUCGUGCUGUGAGGAAGAUGAUUUUAUCUAGCAGAGCCAAAUAUAUGCAAGAUGCUAUUGGAAGAAAUCUAAUAUGGCAGGAAAAGUUCUAAGAUGGCCAUCAUGAUCUUCACCCUUUGAUGUUUCCCCCUGGGUAAUUUAUUCCCCUUGUGUCUGGGCAGAAUUUUGUAUUUGCUUCUAGCCAAUAGGAUAUGGCAAUGAUGUGUAAGUGUCACUGCCUUUGUUAGGUAACAUCACAUAAAAAAGCUGAGGGAAUAUCAGUCUCAUGAUUAUGCUCUGUUAUAUAAGAUUCCAUCUUAACAGACUGGAGCAAGAGACUCUCCUGCUGGCUACAAGAAGCCAGCUGCUGUGCUCUGAACUGCCUAUGGGAGGGCCAUGUGGCAGGGAACUGCAGGUGACUUCUAGGAUCAGUGAGCCUUGUGCUAUAGUUACAAGGAAAUACAUUCUGCCAACAACCUGAAUUAGAUUGGAAGCAGAUAUUUUCCCCCAGUCAAGCCUCCAGAUGAGAACACAACCCAGCCCACACCUUCAUUGCAACCUUGUAAGAUCUUCAGCAGAGAAUUGAGCUAUGCUAUACUUAGAUUCCAGACCCAUGGAUGUCGUGAGAUCAUAGAUUUGGAUUGUUUGAAGGCACCAAGUCUGUGGUGAUUACACAGCAAUGGAAAACUAGUACAACUAAUGAAGCAGCUGGCACAAAGGAGGCCAGGCCACUGUACCAGGGUAACAUGACAAAAAGAUGGCCCAAGACGAGACUUCUUUCCUGGAAGGACUGGGCUGCUGGAGAGCAUAUGAAUAAAUGACUCAGGAACAAUCUAGGACUUGUGUUACCUGUCCUAGGGCACAACAACACAUGGGUCUGGAUUAAUACAUGAGCAAAGCAAGCCCUAAAAUGAGCUGAACAAUUAUUCAUUUGCUCAGAAAUAUUUAUUGAUGAUAUAACUGAUGAGUGAAUAAAUGAACUAUAAGAGAGAUAUGAAGAAAUUGCCCAGAACUAGGCAAAGAAAGAGAAAAUUAUGGAAAAUGUAGAAGAAAGAUAAAAAGACACCUCUCACUCCAGACCUAUGAAGCAGAAACUCAGGGGACGGACUACAGCAAUCUGUGCUUUCCCAAGUCCUGCAGCCAAUUUUGAUGCACACUAGAGUUUGAGAAACACUAAUAAAGACUAAGGUGAAAGGAAGACAUUUUGCCUUAAGUGAUGAGUUACCAAAAAAUUGUCUUUUUUUAUUAUUUUAUCUCUCAUUAUAAUAUAAAAAAGAAAAGAAUGAAAGUUCAUUAGGUAUAACAUAGAAAAUAUAAGCAUAUCAAAAAUUUUACGUUAGAAGUAAAGAGAAUAGGUUUUUAAUGGAAGCACGUAAAAAGGAAUAUAAAAAAUAUUGAAUUUUCACUUUGUUGUAAUGUCAUAUGGCCAUAAAAUAAUGAGAUAAUAUAUAAAACAACAAUUUUUCCUUCUUAUCUGUAUAAGGAAUAAAAGGCAUUUUAUUUUAUAAUAAAUCUUUCUGUUUUAAAAUAUCACGGUUCUCUUGGGACCUGAAAUUUUUCUUCUGCUGCUUUAUUUGACACCGUAGUUAAAUCACCCUAUAUUCUUUGACAUGUGUCAGAAUAACAAGCGAUUGGAAACUUUCCAAAAUGCAGGCAUAAUUAAUGAAUCCAACUGAUACAAUAUGUAAAGUCAAAAGAGUAGAUACUUCUUUCACACAGGCUAGUCCAACAAAAUGUCAGAUUUACUUUGUUUCAGUAGUUGCUUAAUAUCAAAGAUCAAAAGUACAUGACCUGUCAAAUAACUUUUAAGUGCUGAUUUUUAUUUUGGCAUACAUUGAAUAAUUUUUACAUUUUAAAGAUGAUCAGUUUUGUAGGUACACUUUAAAAUCUUGAAAUUAGGAGAAAAAGACUGGCAAUAAAGUUAAUCAAGUGUUGGAAAGUAAAAAACUAGAAAAACUUGCAUCAUUAAGUUCACCAAACUACUUUUAUAUAAUUUGUGUAAAUACUUUUUUAAUAUUAAAAAUUGGGAGACUUUCCUUUGAAAUUCUUUCUGUAGCAUUAGGUAUUUUAAAUGACAGAAGCUUGUGCUCUUCCUAAGUCUUGCUUCAUUUUGGAAACCAAAUAUUUUACAAUUUCCUUAAUGUAGACCACUUUUGAGAAAAUAAUUUUCUUGUGUGGUAUUAUGAACUGAAUUGUGUCUCCACUAAAUUCGUACACUGAAGCCCUAACCCCCAAUGUGACUGUUUUUGGAGCUAGAGCCUUUAAGGAGGUAAUUAAGGUUGCAUGAGGUCAUGAGAAUGGAGCUCUGAUCCGAUGUGGUUUGUGUCAUUAUGAGAAGAAGAGGAGACAACAGGGCCCCUUCUCUUUCUGUGAGUGUGCAGAGAAAAGGCCAUGCGAGGAUACAGCAAGAAGGCACCCUCUGUUAGUCAAGGAGAGAAACCUUGGAAUGAAAGCAAUUCCGUUGACACCUUGAUCUUGGACUUCCAGGCUCCAGAACUGUGAAAAUAUAAACUUUUGUUGUUUAAGCCACCCAGCUUGUGGUAUUACGUUAUGGCAGACCAAGCUCACUACCAUAUGUGGUCACACAUUAAUGUACUUAGAACAAUGUCUAGUACAGAGAUGGUGCUUAAAAGAUAUUUGUUGAAUGAAAGAAAAAAUACAGAGAAUUUUUUCAAUACUAAUAGAGCCAUAGAAGUCUUAACUUCUAUCUCAAGGACAUACUUAUUAUCUAU
rnacentral:lncRNA from 10 species